CCUGUACAGGGGGAUAACAAUGGGAAACCAUUGCUAAUACCCCAUAAUACCUUUUAAGGGCAUCCUUGAAAGGUCAAAGAAUUUCGGUAUAGGAUGGGCCCGCGUCUGAUUAGCUAGUUGGUGGGGUAAUGGCCUACCAAAGCAACGAUCAGUAGCCGGCCUGAGAGGGUGAACGGCCACACUGGAACUGAGACACGGUCCAGACUCCUACGGGAGGCAGCAGUGGGGAAUAUUGCACAAUGGGGGAAACCCUGAUGCAGCAACGCCGCGUGAGCGAUGAAGGCUUUCGAGUCGUAAAGCUCUGUCCUAAGGGAAGAUAAUGACGGUACCUUAGGAGGAAGCCCCGGCUAACUACGUGCCAGCAGCCGCGGUAAUACGUAGGGGGCAAGCGUUAUCCGGAAUUAUUGGGCGUAAAGGGUGCGUAGGCGGCCUUAUGGGUCAGAGGUUAAAUACUACGGCUUAACCGUAGUAUGCCUUUGAAACUAUAGGGCUUGAGUGCAGGAGAGGAGAGUGGAAUUCCUAGUGUAGCGGUGAAAUGCGUAGAUAUUAGGAGGAAUACCAGUGGCGAAGGCGACUCUCUGGACUGCAACUGACGCUAAGGCACGAAAGCGUGGGUAGCGAACAGGAUUAGAUACCCUGGUAGUCCAUGCUGUAAACGAUGAGUGCUAGGUGUUGGGGGUCAAACCUCGGUGCCGCAGUUAACGCAUUAAGCACUCCGCCUGGGGAGUACGUUCGCAAGAAUAAAACUCAAAGGAAUUGACGGGGACCCGCACAAGCAGCGGAGCAUGUGGUUUAAUUCGAAGCAACGCGAAGAACCUUACCUGGAUUUGACAUCCCUCUGACCGUCUCUUAAUCGAGAUUUUCCCUUCGGGGACAGAGGAGACAGGUGGUGCAUGGUUGUCGUCAGCUCGUGUCGUGAGAUGUUGGGUUAAGUCCCGCAACGAGCGCAACCCUUGUCUUUAGUUGCCAUCAAGUAAAGUUGGGCACUCUAAAGAGACUGCCAAGGUAAACUUGGAGGAAGGUGGGGAUGACGUCAAAUCAUCAUGCCCUUUAUGUCCAGGGCUACACACGUGCUACAAUGGCCGAUACAACGGGCAGCUAAGGAGCAAUCCGGAGCAAAUCCUACAAAAUCGGUCCCAGUUCGGAUUGUGGGCUGAAAUUCGCCCACAUGAAGUCGGAGUUGCUAGUAAUCGCGAAUCAGCAUGUCGCGGUGAAUGCGUUCCCGGGUCUUGCACUCACCGCCCGUCA
rnacentral:rRNA from 1 species